rnacentral:lncRNA from 1 species
UUUUUAGUAGAGACGGGGUUUCACCGUGUUAGCCAGGAUGGUCUCGAUCUCCUGACCUUGUGAUCCGCCCUUGGCCUCCCAAAGUGCUGGGAUUACAGGCGUAAGCCACCGCGCCUGGCCUGAACUGUCUUAACUUCAAAUCUGAGGCUUUCAUUGGCUGGAUGGUCUCCAAAAAAAUGGACUGACCUCCUUUGUCUUCACCAUCCUCACCCAUGAUGAGUAUGUUUCUGUUUUAUAUUUUACACUUUAAAAAAUAUACUGUAUUUUUGUUGUGGGAUGUUACAGGCUCAAUUGUGUCCCCCCCAAAAUUUAUAGGUUGAAUCCCUAACUCCCAGUACUUCAGAGCAUGAAUAUAUUUGGAGACAGGGUCUUUAAAAGGGCAAUGAAGUUAGAAUGGGGUCGUUAGGGUGUUCCCUAAUCGAAUAUGACUGGUGUCUUUAUAAAAAGAGGCGAAGAGGACACAGACACAACAGAGGAAAGACCAUGUGAUCACACAGGGAGAAGAUGGUAAUCUGCAAGCAAUGUACAGGGACCUCAGAAGGAACAAACCCUGCCGGCACCUUGAUCUUGGACCUCCAGCCUUCAGGACUGUGAGAAAAUAAAUGUCUGUUGUUUACGCCACCCAGUCUGUGGUAUUUUGUUUUGGCAGCCCUACAAAAAUAAUACAUGGGAUAAUGUAGAAAAUGAUUAAUAAUAACAACAUAUGUAAUAAUAAUAACAAUAUGUUAUGCUGUAGUUGCCCUCCAAAUGCUUGUCUUCUUCAGUUGAAUUAAUAGAAGCAAGUUGUUUAAAAUACAGAAAGCAACACUACUGGCCUGUACUGGUCAGAACCCACAGAACGAAAGUAGGGCCUCUUUCUGGAAACAAACUUUGAUUGUUGGGGGUGGAUGAUCAUUGAGAAACUGGGUUAGAGAAAGGCCACAGGCUGGUGAAAAGUCUGGGAAUUGCAGCACUGAAGGAAAUGGCUAUGCGUGACCCAGAGAAGAGAAGACUCAAGGGAACAUGAAGCCAUCUCCAAAGCCAUGAGAUGCUCUCCUAAGAAAGAGGAAUUCUAUUUAGCUGCAUGGGCCCACAGGGGAGAGCCAGAAUCAGUGGGUAAAGGUUUCAGGGAUGUAGAUUUCAGUUCAAUAUAAGAAAGACUUUUCUAAGAGACCUGCUGGCAAAUAUAAACAGGCUACCUUGAUAAGUAUUCAAUGAGGCUGAAUGACCACUUAUUAGAAAUGUCAGAGAGGAGACUCAAGCAUAGAUCCCAUGUUUGGAUCAGAUAAACUUGAAUGUUCCUUUCAGUCCCAACAUUCUCUGUAAAAAUAGAUUGUACUCCAGCCAAAGAACAGAUUUCAACAGCACUUGGAUAUACCUCUUACAAUUGUUAAGAACAUGUGCAUGGUCAACAAAUAUUUCUGACCGUCAUUGAUCUGGUGGAUAUUUAAAAAGAUUUAGAAAAUUUACUAAGAAAGAAAAAUGGAAUAAAUAUUCAAACUGUAGAGACAGUCACAGGACCUUGGGAAGGUGGAAGGUCCCCUACUAAUAUUUUGGGGUCCCAAAGUACAAGCUGUAUCAAAGCUGGACUUGUGCUAGUCAAAAUCUUGUUUAUUUUGUGUAAAGCUGCCAUCUCAAGUUCACACACACGCAAAAACAAAAAACAAAAUAACGGAGCUUAACUUAUCUACUAAAAGCUAAUCUAUCCUGAAAGAAUGUGUUAAAAUCACUCCCAGUAAGAGUUGACACAGUAAAAGCUGUAAUUUCCCAACUACCAUCAGUAUGUGAGAUUUUGGGAAAGUCGACAGAAGCAAGGGAUGAUUUGGUAGCUGUAUCAGGCACAUAGUUUUCAUAUCCAUAAAUUGCUACAGAGUCAUGGAGUGUCACUGGUUCUAAAGUGCGGCGGGUGGACGCCACCUCAUUACCUGACACCUCUUAAUCAAUGCGGCUGGAAUGCGGGCUUCCCUAUCUUGAAACCGACCGCGGGCGGUCAGAGCCGGCAGGGAGUGAGAGCUGCAACCACUGCGGGCUGAGCUCCCACAAAAGAAUCGGCGCAGAGAGAGGGGACCGACCAGGCCAACUCUCUCCACUUGGGGCUGGGAGGGCAAUUACCACCGACCCCUUGGCUUCCGAUCUAAGACCCCGGAAGCCUCCCCUCCUCCAGAUACCCAACCUGCGUGUCACCGAUCACCCGCCACCCCCGCUUCCCCGCCCAGGGGAGCGCCUCCCAGGCCGAGGCUCCGAGGGGCCCGCCCAUCUCCAAGACCGCACAGGGGUCCUCACUCACAACGCCUGCGGCUGGCAGAGGGAAAAUACCACGGGUGCGGGGGAGGGGGAGAGUGUCUCUCAGCUGCCUCAGGUCGUCCUUCGGUCUCCCCGGGGACGCGCAGAGCCUCGGCGGAGGUGGGAGCGGGGAGGGGUUAAAGCGGGAAAUUAAGAGACUUGAGCAACUGGCAGUGCUCAAGUUAACCGAGUCCGUGGCGAGCGUUCUGGGGAUGGGAGCGGCCGGCUGCGCACUCGUCCCGGGUCUGGAGCCACC